UACGUAGGGUGCGAGCGUUUGUCCGGAAUUAUUGGGCGUAAAGAGCUCGUAGGCGGUGUGUCGCGUCGGCCGUGAAAACCUGCAGCUUAACUGUGGGCUUGCGGUCGAUACGGGCAUCACUGGAGUUCGGCAGGGGAGACUGGAAUUCCUGGUGUAGCGGUGAAAUGCGCAGAUAUCAGGAGGAACACCGGUGGCGAAGGCGGGUCUCUGGACAACUCCUGACACUGGAGGCAACGGAAAGCUAGGGGAGCAAACAGG
rnacentral:rRNA from 1 species